rnacentral:rRNA from 1 species
AUCAUGGCUCAGGNUAAACGCUGGCGGCGCACAUAAGACAUGCAAGUCGAACGGACCAAAACUUUAGGUUUACCUAUAGUAGAGGUUAGUGGCGGACUGGUGAGUAACACGUAAGCAACCUGCCUAUCAGAGGGGAACAACAGUUAGAAAUGACUGCUAAUACCGCAUAUGCCAUAAUCACCACAUGGUGAUAGUGGAAAGGAGCAAUCCGCUGAUAGAUGGGCUUGCGUCUGAUUAGAUAGUUGGUGGGGUAACGGCCUACCAAGUCGACGAUCAGUAGCCGGACUGAGAGGUUGAACGGCCACAUUGGGACUGAGAUACGGCCCAGACUCCUACGGGAGGCAGCAGUCGGGAAUAUUGCGCAAUGGAGGAAACUCUGACGCAGUGACGCCGCGUGCAGGAAGAAGGUUUUCGGAUUGUAAACUGCUUUAGACAGGGAAGAUACAAGACAGUACCUGUAGAAUAAGCUCCGGCUAACUACGUG